rnacentral:lncRNA from 13 species
UCUCCAUGUACCAAUCAGGAUUCUUCUAUUAGCGUUCCAACCUUGUUGAUAUGAAAAAGCUGCUUCUCAGCAGAGGGAUGGCUCUGGUAGCAGCUGUCAGCCAGAAGCCUAUCAGAGUCACUACCUAUAUACAACUCUUUAUUUGUUAGGGGAAUGAGAGGAUCAGCUUACAAAAGUAAGACUACCCACCAGCAUCUAGAGCAGGAUCUGCACAGAACUCUCUGGGCUCUUCCGAUAUGGUGGAUCACUUGAGGUUAUGAGUUCCAGAUCAGCCUGGCCAACAUGGUGAAACCCUGUCUCACUAGAAACACAAAAAUUAGCCAGGCAUGAUGGCUGGUGCCUGUAAUCCUAGCUACUCGGGAGGCUAAGGCAUGAGAAUAGCUUGAACUCAGGGGGCAGAGGUUGCAAUGAGCCAAGAUUGCACCACUGCAUUCCAGCGUGGAUGACAGAGACUCAGUCUCAAAAAAAAAAAAAAAAGUUAUAACAACCUAUUGUUGGCAAUUUCAGUUUGCCUGUCUGUUCAAUGGCUUACCAUAUUGAAAA